rnacentral:tRNA from 1 species
GGAUUGUGGCUCAGAGGUAGAGCGCUUGCCUGGUAGAGCGAGGUAGAGCACACAUGAGGCACUGGGUUCGAUCCUCAGCACCA